rnacentral:rRNA from 1 species
CCUACGGGAGGCAGCAGUGGGGAAUAUUGGACAAUGGGCGAAAGCCUGAUCCAGCAAUGCCGCGUGAGUGAUGAAGGCCUUAGGGUCGUAAAGCUCUUUUACCCGGGAUGAUAAUGACAGUACCGGGAGAAUAAGCCCCGGCUAACUCCGUGCCAGCAGCCGCGGUAAUACGGAGGGGGCUAGCGUUGUUCGGAAUUACUGGGCGUAAAGCGUGCGUAGGCGGUUAUUCAAGUCAGAGGUGAAAGCCCGGGGCUCAACCCCGGAACGGCCUUUGAAACUAGGUAGCUAGAAUCUUGGAGAGGUCAGUGGAAUUCCGAGUGUAGAGGUGAAAUUCGUAGAUAUUCGGAAGAACACCAGUGGCGAAGGCGACUGACUGGACAAGUAUUGACGCUGAGGCACGAAAGCGUGGGGAGCAAACAGGAUUAGAUACCCUGGUAGUCCACGCCGUAAACGAUGAUAACUAGCUGUUCGGGUACUUGGUAUCUGAGUGGCGCAGCUAACGCAUUAAGUUAUCCGCCUGGGGAUACGGUCGCAAGAUUAAAACUUAAAGGAAUUGACGGNUGAGACNGCGAGACGACACGAGGAGAG